rnacentral:rRNA from 1 species
CCUACGGGUGGCAGCAGUGAGGAAUAUUGGUCAAUGGUCGGGAGACUGAACCAGCCAAGCCGCGUGAGGGAUGAAGGUACAGCGUAUCGUAAACCUCUUUUGUCAGGGAACAAAGGCGGGGACGUGUCCCCGGCUGAGUGUACCUGAAGAAAAAGCAUCGGCUAACUCCGUGCCAGCAGCCGCGGUAAUACGGAGGAUGCGAGCGUUAUCCGGAUUUAUGGGGUUUAAGGGGUGCGCAGGCGGUCUGUUAAGUCAGCGGUCAAAGCCCGGGGCUCAACCCCGGCCCGCCGUUGAAACUGGCAGUCUCGAGUGGGAGAGAAGUAUGCGGAAUGCGCGGUGUAGCGGUGAAAUGCAUAGAUAUCGCGCAGAACUCCGAUUGCGAAGGCAGCAUGCCGGCUCCACACUGACGCUGAGGCACGAAAGCGUGGGUAUCGAACAGGAUUAGAUACCCUUGUAGUC